UACGGGGGGGGCAAGCGUUGUUCGGAAUUACUGGGCGUAAAGGGUUUGUAGGUGGCUUGUUAAGUCAGACGUGAAAUCCCUCAGCUUAACUGGGGAACUGCGUCUGAGACUGGUGAGCUUGAGUGCAGGAGAGGAACGCGGAAUUCCAGGUGUAGCGGUGAAAUGCGUAGAUAUCGUAAGGAAGGCCGGUGGCGAAAGCGAGCCUCUGGACAGUUACUGACGCUGAUGCACGAAGGCCAGGGGAGCAAACGGG
rnacentral:rRNA from 1 species